rnacentral:rRNA from 1 species
UACGGAGGGGGCUAGCGUUGUUCGGAAUUACUGGGCGUAAAGCGCGCGUAGGCGGCUUUGUAAGUUAGAGGUGAAAGCCCAGGGCUCAACCCUGGAAUUGCCUUUAAGACUGCAUCGCUUGAACAUCGGAGAGGUAAGUGGAAUUCCGAGUGUAGAGGUGAAAUUCGUAGAUAUUCGCAAGAACACCAGUGGCGAAGGCGGCUCACUGGCCCGUAACUGACGCUGAGGCACGGAAAGCGUGGGGAGCAAACAGG